UACGAAGGGGGCUAGCGUUGUUCGGAUUUACUGGGCGUAAAGCGUACGUAGGCGGACCGUUAAGUCGGAGGUGAAAUCCUGGGGCUCAACCCCAGAACUGCCUUCGAUACUGGCGGUCUCGAGUCCGGGAGAGGUGAGUGGAACUGCCAGUGUAGAGGUGAAAUUCGUAGAUAUUGGCAAGAACACCAGUGGCGAAGGCGGCUCACUGGCCCGGUACUGACGCUGAGGUACGAAAGCGUGGGGAGCAAACAGGAUUAGAUACCCUGGUAGUCCACGCUGUAAACGAUGGAAGCCAGCCGUCGGGCAGCAUGCUGUUCGGUGGCGCAGCUAACGCUUUGAGCUUCCCGCCUGGGGAGUACGGUCGCAAGAUUAAA
rnacentral:rRNA from 1 species